GACAGUUUUGUUUCUGAGUUUAGUUGGUAAUGUGGCAGUGUGGAGCUAGGGAGGGGUGAACCGAUGGUUGGUUUAGAUGUGUAUAUACAUACAUGCAUAUAUACUGUAUAUAUGCAUAAAACCAUAUUACAGUAGCCUUCCUGCUGCGGUGAAAGGGGAGAUAUUCACAGGGACACAUUGAUGCGGGUUCAUCGGGGAGGAAAGAGGAGCAUGGACCCGUAAAGAUGUUGGAAUUAAUCGCCAGAGAAGAUUCUUUCCUUUAAGAUAUUUAUUUAAUUUAUUUUUCUAUAUUUUUGUACUUUAUAUUUUGUACCUACGUUUCGGCCGGGGUGCUGAUAUUCAGGGACUGUGAGGAUGGAUCAGGCGAAUAUCUUGAGGAAGUUCAUUCAGGGGGUUCACGCCAUGCGAUCAGGGGAGCAGAGAGGAGAGGAUAACUUCAGCUCGGACUUCAUGAGAUUACGCAGAUUAUCGACCAAAUACAAGACGGAAAAAAUCUAUCCCACUAAUGUUGGCGAGAGAGAAGAAAAUGUGAAAAAGAACAGAUAUAAAGACAUACUGCCAUUUGACCACAGUCGAGUGAAAGUGACAUUAAAAACAUCCAAUCAGGACACGGAUUACAUCAACGCAAACUUCAUUAAGGGAGUGGAUGGGAGUGAGGCCUACAUUGCCACACAGGGCCCGUUGCCCAACACUGUCCUCGACUUCUGGAGAAUGAUCUGGGAGUACAAUGUCGCAGUCAUUGUUAUGGCAUGUCGAGAGUUUGAGAUGGGCAGGAAAAAAUGUGAGCGGUACUAUCCCCAGUUUGGAGAUGAGCCCAUGUCCUUUGGCCCUUUCAGGAUCUCCUGUGAAUCAGAACAAGCUCGAACUGACUAUUACAUUCGUAGCCUAACAGUUGAGUUUGACAAUGAGACUCGUAGAAUAACCCAAUUCCAUUACAUCAACUGGCCAGACCAUGAUGUUCCCUCAUCAUUUGACUCGAUAUUGGACAUGAUUGCACUGAUGAGGGAGUACCAGGAGCAUGACGAGGUUCCUGUCUGUGUACACUGCAGUGCUGGAUGUGGGAGAACAGGUGCCAUUUGUGCCAUUGACUAUACAUGGAACCUGCUGAAAACUGGGAGAAUUCCUGAGGAUUUUAAUGUCUUUCAAUUGAUUCAGGAGAUGCGGACGCAGAGGCACUCAGCAGUUCAGACAAAGGAGCAGUAUGAGUUAGUCCAUAGAGCUAUCGCCCAACUUUUCGAGAAGCAGCUGUUGCUGUUGGAGAGUCCUACGAAUUCAGAGCUAACAGAUGGCAUGGAUGAAGGCAGUCCGGAAAAACCCAGCCAGAAUUCAGAUGAGGACCAAUGGGACACACCUCCACCCAAACCACCACGCAUUCGGAGUUCUCAGGUUGAGGGUGAAGUCCAAGAGGAAAUCCUGCAGGCCCCUGAGCCUCGGCCAGUGCCACCCAUCCUCACUCCAUCACCACCUUCAGCAUUCCCCACGGUGAGUGAUGUGCGCCAGGAGAACGAUCGCUACCACCCCAAACCCGUGCUGCACUUGCUGGCUUCUGAACACGAACCUGACCUCAAUGAGAACUACAGUGGAGGCCCCCAGGGAGUGCCCACCAUGCCUGCCUCUGUGCCUGCCCCUUCCCCUCCGGAGUCCAAUAAACACACCCCUCUGAGUGUGGAGAUCAAGAAAGUGCCCUUGCAGGAGGGACCACGUAGUUUCGAGAGCAGUAGUGCACUGCAACGAACGCAUGCUUUCAAAGUGCGCACCAGUAACAGCUCUCUGUCACAGGAUUCGGAAAACGUGCCCCGCCCUGACCACUUGCCUCUGCGCGCCAACAAAGGCCAGGUGGUCUGGACACGCUCUACAAACCCCACGCCUGCCUCCAGCCUGACCUCUGGCCCCACUCUCGAGGGUGCGGAUGCUCCCCUCAGGACCGCUCUGAGCUUCACCAACCCACUGCACUCGGACAACUCGGACCCAGAGCCUGAGGAGGGAGAGGACUCCCUGCACGUUUCCCAUCACACUGAUUCCCAAUCUAGUGUGUCCACAGCGACCGGCAAAGUUUCAGCAGCACCCCAUGAUGACAACGUCCCCAGGAAGGUUACCUCAAUGUCCAUAGUUGGUGUUUGCUCAAAGGCAGAUGCAGAGACAGAUGUCAGAAUUCAAAGAGAGCUGAUUUGGAGUUUGGAGAGAUGAUUGCGGGCUGAUGGUGGAUCGGAUUGACUGCAUGUGCUGUGGCUGUGGAUUUAUGGCUUGAUGAAAUGAGAGGAAGUGGGUGUUCAUCCUCUUGUGAUUAUAACUCUGCUUUUAUUCAAGCCAGCUUGUCAAGUAGCUAACCUGUUUCCUAGCUGACAUACGGAGUCUUUGUGCUCUGUAAUAAAUGGGAUAUUAACCCCUUUUUUUUUAAUUAUGAUCUUUAUUUUUAAUUUCACAGUUUGUAUCUCUGAGGAAACAUUGCCCGAUUGGGUUAUAUAUUUUUAAAAAACAAAAAAUUAAUGUUGUUUGGCAUUGCUUGUUAAAAUUUUAGAAACUGUUAGAAAUUUUAGAAACAUUUUAGAAACAUUUUAAAAACACUGUUGUGGUCAAAUCACAUUUUUCAAACUUUUUAAAUAAAAAAAAAAGAGAUUUGACCACAACACUGCUUUUGUUUGAAACUUAACCAUUCAUGUGGAAACACAGAUUCGAACCUUUCUGAAUGCCAGUAUCUUAUAAGCAGUGAAAGUUAAAGGGACGCUCCGGUCAAAAUAAAACAUUUACCCCUCAGUUCAGCUGCUGUAAACAUGCCUACUCGCGUCUAACGGCGACGGCUCAGUAGCGACAUUUGAAUACUGCGAAAAACUCUGAUUACUCCAAAUAACUGAAAUUAUCGAGUAGCUGCUAUAAUGUUAGCUAGCAAUGUUGCAUGAUUCUCUACCUUUGUGUUAGUGACAUUACUAGCCAUCUUACUAGUACUACAUGGGUGAGGACCAGCAUUUGCUAGCAGACAUUAAUUAGAUGUCUUAGCUCAGGUCGGCUCCUUUUGUCGUGUUGACCGGGUGUUGAACUCUCCUCUGGUCUGUGUUUCGUACUAAAUCCAGACAGAAUCACUGUUUUCUUCAGCGUCGUCUUCUGCUUUGGUGGAAGACGCAGUAACUCUAUGGAGCUUGGAAGCCGAAAGCAGUAUUUGAAUAUAAAGUAAAUUAGAGAGUAAAAAAGAGAUAUAUAAAUUAAAUGUAUUGAUUUUUGUACAGUACAGGACUCACAAAAAUCUAUAUCCCCAUUUGUGAUUAUUUUUAUUUAUUUAUUUAUUUCUAUUCAGGCAAUGUGUUUCCAGGGAUACAGACAUUUCAUGUCAGAUUAUCCGAACUCUGAACAUGGAAUUCAUUUUUAGAAUCAAAUGCUGCAGCAUUUGAAACAGCGUGUAUGUGCCGCUGGGCUUUGGCUCAGGCCAGUUUUGGUCAGUGGCUGGGCUGCGUGUGGUUCUGCGGGCUCCUUUUCCUAUCGCAAAGCACUCUAACGUGUGUAUGAGUGUGUAUGAGCUAUCGGUAACCGUGAUCUUGUGUGCUCCAGACAGUGACAAGAGUGAAGACUCGCCUCCCCCUCUUCCUGAAAGAACCCUUGAGUCCUUCUUUUUGGCCACAGAUCCAGUGGAUGUGCAGGUGGAGUUGAAUGAAUGUACAGGAGCAUUAGGAGAUGCCUCCCUCCAG